rnacentral:sRNA from 1 species
GUUUUUCUUCUUCUUCUU